UACGGGGGGGGUAAGCGUUGUUCGGAAUUACUGGGCGUAAAGGGCUCGUAGGCGGCCAACUAAGUCAGACGUGAAAUCCCUCAGCUUAACUGGGGAACUGCGUCUGAUACUGGAUGGCUUGGAUUCGGGAGAGGAAUGCGGAAUUCCAGGUGUAGCGGUGAAAUGCGUAGAUAUCUGGAGGAACACCGGUGGCGAAGGCGGCAUCCUGGACCAUUACUGACACUGAAAAGCGAAAGCCAGGGGAGCAAACGGG
rnacentral:rRNA from 1 species